UCGAGAGGAAGGAGAGGCAAAGAACCGCCAAAAAAAAAGCUCGUACGCGCGUAUAUGACACGCGCCCACUCCACUGUCUUUUGGUCACUCUAUAACACUAGUCUUUAAACACAGACACUAUCAUACUAUGAUUCCUUCUUCAUAUCAAGAUUCAAGACCAACAGAAAAAUCCAAGCAUUUUACAUAGAAUGUAUAUUAAUGGUCCAAGUAGAUCCACAAAGCCU